AGUUAAAAAAAAAAAAGAAAACUACCAAUCUAGGUAUUUAAGUAACCUGUACAAGCACCUGCUCCAUGACCUAAUGGAAGAUGUAUUUUCAGAUAUAUUGUCCUUUGCUCGACAUCCAAUUUAAGCAUCCCCCAGUCCCUAAGGUGCUGACAAGUGACAGAUCCGCAGGGUGGCUGCCGAACUGUCCUCGGGUGUGUGUCUCCUGCCCUCUCAGGAUUUUCUUCCAGCAGUGAAACAAAUUAAAUCUAUGUGAGGAAUUGUUUCCAGCAUAUGUUAAUGUGUCUUAAUUUGUCUUAAUGAUUUGGCCACGGGCUGGUGCCUCUGCUUUUAU
rnacentral:lncRNA from 1 species